ensembl:lncRNA
GGAGAGGAGGGUUAGAGCGGAGGAUGAUAUAAGCGCAGAGUUUUAAUGAGGAUCUACUUAUCUGUCACUCAUACUCCUUUCAUUGUUCCCCUCCCCCAUUUAGCGAGAUAGCAGGAGCGAGCUUGGGAUGGUGGGGGCAGCAAAGUCAGGGUCGAGGGGGGAGUAGCAAUGGUAAGGCACAUCACUUAUUUAUAGGUUAUAAAACCUUGCUCCCUCCUAUAUGGUCCAGUCUGCUUUUAGUUUUUUUAGUUGUUGUUUUUUUGUCUUCUUUGAAAUCUGUUUCACUUCCAUGAUAACUCGGCCUCCCUUUAGCAGCAAAUGCACGAGGGAGAGGAGUGAGAGGAGCUGAGGUUUAGUUACAGUGUGGCAAUCUGACAAUGUGCGUAUGUGUGUGUUUGUGUGUAAGCCAAUUAGCAUUCCCCUUGUUCACUGUCCCUUCUCGCUCUGUGUGUGUGUGUGUUAUUAAUAAAACAUACAGCAGAUGUUCCAAAGGAGCAUUUUAUCCAUAUGAUCAUUUUUAUUUAUAGAGCCCUAUUAAAUCAACGAUCCAUUCUAUAGAGCGGGGUUUGCAUGUGCUGUUUUUCUUUUUUUGUUAGGUCUCAUAAAAGAAUUGGAAAUUUUGUUGAAUCGUUCUCUCGUGCAUUGUGUUGCCCUGUCCUAACUACAGGCACAAACACGGGGCUGGACGAAAAGCCUCUAUGGUAUGCUUGUUCUUGGUUUGCGUUGCCUUGUGUGCGGGCUCUGUGCAGACGAGUUGAAUCCUGUUUUAUAAGUGAAUGUGUGCUCAGGUGUCGCCACACAAUCAGGCGGUUAGUGCGUUGCAUCGUAUAUGUGCAUAAUUAGGCUUGUGUGAGAGCUCCGCGAGGUCACGUAUAGGGUAAAGGCUGAUGCGCUGACAGCUGUGCUCUGUUGUGGCAGGUGUGUCGGGGCUGUAUAUGUAUGAGAACAACACGCCCGUGCCUGCAGCAGGACAUGAGCCUGCAGUACGUGUGCUCAGUGUGCAGGAAACUGUGCAGCUGUUGUUUGUAUGCUUUUGCCAGUGACUAGAGAUAUUGGAGUCAAGAUGUCAGCUUAAGGGAUGCCGAAGUGACCUCUGUGAUGACGAGUCAAAGAAAUCUACAACCUCCCCAGUUUGUCUGGACCAGAGAGAGUCUUUGCUGAGCUUCACAGAUACUCCCACUGUAAUCCAGAAACACCAGUAUAACUGUCCCGAGAAAAGGAAAUAGCACAGCAGUUCAGUCAUCCCCAGAAUGGCUGACCUUCCUCCCCUUGGCUUAAGACUUCCUUGUAUUCCCAGCAUUUUAUUAUAUGUUUGGGGCUAUUCCUCAUCAUCGAUUGGGAGCAGUACAGAGAAUAGAUGGGGGGAUGGAUGACCUUUUGAACACUGGGUGACUGUUGUCAUGAAAGGCGACUCCCACUCUCCCAAAGCCGAUGCACUCUGGCGAUGGUAUCUUGCAAGACCUACAUGCAUUUAGCCAGAAUCCUUUUCCUCAUCCUUCCUGUCGGGCUUUCUGACCCCAGCUGCAAAGAAGACCAUCCAACAGCAGUGCCUGUGUCCCACAAACACGAUUCUACAUGUUUGCUGAGUUUUUAUUUUCAGACAUCCUUUACAUGUGAUUUGAAACACAUGAAGCAGACUGUUAUGUGUCUUUUACUCAGAACUGCUCGCGUCUGGUGGCGGUCAAACUUCCUGCAGGUUCUCCGAUCUCUACAGAAAACAUCUGAAGUCUUCUUGCAAUAAAUGCUGAAUUCUUGGUCACAUACCAGACCAAUUAAAUAUUUACUCAGACAUCCUACUUAGUCUGGCUGACUCUAAGAAGAGCCCUGGUCAUUCCGUUACUUGGGUGUUUCUCCUAAUAACCACUCAAACCUUUAUAAAUGGAUUUAGAACCAGCACCUCAAUGCAGUUUCCAGUCAUAAUGGCUGCUAUUGUCUUGCUGUGCAGUGUGAAUUGUAGAAGCUUUAUAUACACAGGUGUGUGCCUUUCUAAACUAUGGCUAAUCAGUUUGCCAGUUUGCCACAGGUGGAUUCCAGCAGAGCUCAAGGACAGUUAAAGUAAACAGGAUGCACCUGACCACAAUUUGGAUUCCCACACAAAGGGUGCAAUGACGUUCGUAAAGGAGAAAAUGUUCUAAAAUGAUUUUACGUUAUGUUCACAGUGAACACAAUGGAGUGUGCAACAGCUGAACAGAUCUAGUGAAUUUUUUUCAGCUGGGUACGGUUUGACUUCCUCUGUUACUCAGACCUUUGAUUAGUAUUAUUGACAUAGUCAGAAAUGCAUUUGCGCAGCUUCCAGCUUGUGUAACCGCCCUGCCUGUUCCAGUUCAGCGGUGGAUAUUAGAGGUGGCUGACAUGGAUGCAUUAUGUACUAACUUACAGUAUGGCAGAAAUGCAUUUGUCACACAAAGCUUUAACAGUCCUUCCAUUAACACUGACAGGAACAUGAACAUGCCCAGCUGAAUGCAUACGGAGCAGCCAUUCAUCAACCAAGCAGAAUUCUAACCUUCAUCUGAUAAGACCUUUGAAAUCUGUGCCAAAACUCUAAUCCAGGAUAGCAGUGCAUACACACACACACACACACACACAAGUGCACAAACAUCAAAGACAAAAAUCUGUAGCCAAUGUUUAUUGAUCUGCAGGUCUAUUUUUGCUCGGGGAAAUCAUUCUAACAUAAACCAGCCCUCUGUCAAAUUUGAGCUGCAGGGAAACAGGCAACAUUCAUGCAAUGCAUGUUAGAGUGAAGCAGUGAAAAUAAGCAAAGGAAGAUGUAUAAAUGCAGGUAAGCAGAAUCAGUGGAUGUGCAUAUAUGUGUGUAUAUUUGUGUUUUUGGCUGUGUAUAUAUGAAGACAUGUGAGAUCAGUGCUUUUGAACGUGUCAGAGAUCUUUCACGGAGACAAGCUGGAUUAAUUAGAGACAGUACAAAGUGAUGUCAGUCGUUGCCAUAGGAACUUUGUGCUACACUAGUGACACACUCAAGUGUCAGAGGUGCAAACUAUUAAAGUGUCUUUACUCUUGUACUCUUGCAGUGAACCAUUGCGGGGGGGUUAAAGGUUGGUUUGGAAAUGAUCAAAAUAAGAACUGUACUGAAAUUUUACUUGAAUGAAAACCUUUUUAAAGUCAAACUUGAACAUCAUUGUUGC